rnacentral:rRNA from 1 species
UACGAACUGUGCGAACGUUAUUCGGAAUCACUGGGCUUACAGGGUGCGUAGGCGGCUCAACAAGUCAGGUGUGAAAGCCCCCGGCUCAACCGGGGAACUGCGCUUGAAACUGUUAGGCUCGAGUCAGCUAGAGGUACACGGAACUUCCAGUGGAGCGGUGAAAUGUGUUGAUAUCGGGAGGAACACCAGUGGCGAAGGCGGCGACCUGGGCCAAUAUUGACGCUGAGGUGCGAAAGCGUGGGGAGCAAACAGG